rnacentral:lncRNA from 1 species
AUGUUAAGUAUUCAAACUGCUCAUAGCGGUAACCAUAUAAAUUUCAUAGUGAAGGGAAAAUUUAUAAAACAUAAUAAAAAUGAUUUUCUCAUAGCAGCAAAGGAUAGUUACUUAGAGUUACUAACACUUGAUUAUAAACAAACACUAUAUGUACAGAAUACAUUUUUAAAAAUUAUAUUUUUACAAGUAUAUAAAAGUAAAAUAAACGAUAAAUUUAUUAUUGUUGAUGAGAAAUUAAAUGUACGAUGUUUAGAAUAUAACAAUGGUUUUAUAGAAUGUUUUUAUAUUGGAAAUUUUUUUUUUAAAAAAACUAAAAGUUUAUAUAAAAUGGUUUAAGCUAAAAACUGAUCGAAAUGACUUAACAUUAGUAAACGAAUAUAACAAAUACAUUAAUAUUUGUUUUAUUGGUAAUAUAAUUUUUAUAUCUAUUGAAAAUGUAUUGUUUUAUAAAGUAAUAGAAAAUUCUAUUCUUAUUUCUCAUAUUAAUAACAAUAUACAUGACAAAUGUUUGAGUUUUUUAUUAAAAGAAAAGAAAAGGGAAAAAGAAAAACUUAAAAAUCGAAGUGGAUAUGUAGAUAGGGGUGCAUAUAGGGGAGCAGCUGUAAGUACAGAUAGGGGUACAAAUACAUGUGAAAAUACAAGUAUACAGGAGAAAGAAGUCGAAAUAUGUUAUGAUCCUUUACACUUCAAAUAUACUAUAAGUUAUCAAAAAAAAAAAAAAAAAAAUACGUUUAUUUAUCAGUAUUAAGAAGAAAAAACAAAUUUCCUUAUAUUUUAAAAUUAAAAAAACUACAGAAAAAUAAAAAUAGUAACAUUAACA